UACGAAGGUGGCAAGCGUUGUUCGGAUUUACUGGGCGUACAGGGAGCGUAGGCGGUUGGAUAAGCCCUCCGUGAAAUCUCCAGGCUUAACCUGGAAAGUGCAGAGGGGACUGUUCAGCUAGAGGAUGGGAGAGGAGCGCGGAAUUCCCGGUGUAGGCGGUGAAAUGCGUAGAGAUCGGGAGGAAGGCCGGUGGCGAAGGCGGCGCUCUGGACCGAUACUGACGCUGAGGCGCGAAAGCGUGGGGAGCAAACAGG
rnacentral:rRNA from 1 species